rnacentral:piRNA from 1 species
UACUUCAUUUUUAAAAUUUCG